UUUCAAUUCCGUCUGUAUAUUUUCCAUAUUUUCUUGGAUGAUAUCCAAUUUGUCCAUCUUCUUGCUCAUACCAGAUAUCAACUCAAAUAUAUCUUGUAGUUUGACUUCGCUUCCAAAAUUUUUGUUCAUCUCCUUCUCUGUACCCUUAUCUUCCAUUUUUGUGUUCUGAUUAGACUUGCUGGGCGUUUUUUUCAAAGAAUUAUUUGUAUUUUGCGCACUGCGCUUUGAACCUUGUGUUACCGACAUGACACCCGACA